rnacentral:rRNA from 1 species
GUCUUAUUGAAUAUAAUUUUAAGUCUAACCUGCCCACUGAAAUUUUGAAUGGCCGCAGUAAUUUGACUGUGCAAAGGUAGCAUAAUCAUUAGUUUUUUAAUUAAAAGCUUGUAUGAAGGGUUGGACGAGGUAAAAUCUGUCUCUAUUUAAUUUAAAAUAGAAUUUAAUUUUUAAGUUAAAAAGCUUAAAUAAAUAUAAAAGACGAGAAGACCCUAUAGAUCUUUAUAUAAUUUAUAUUAAUUUUAAUAAAGAAUAUUUAAUUUAUUAAUAUAAUAUUAUAUUUUAUUGGGGUAAUAGAAAGAUUAAUAAAAUUCUUUUUAAAUUUAUACAUAAAUUUAUGAAUUAAUGAUCCAAUUAUUUUGAUUAAAAGAUUAAGUUACCUUAGGGAUAACAGCGUAAUUUUUUCAGAGAGUUCAUAUCGAUGAAAAAGUUUGCGACCUCGAUGUUGGAUUAAAAAUUAUUUUAAAUGCAAAAGUUUAAAAUUUUGGUCUGUUCGACCAUUAAAUUUUU